UACAGAGGGUGCGAGCGUUAAUCGGAAUUACUGGGCGUAAAGCGCGCGUAGGUGGUUUGUUAAGUCGGAUGUGAAAGCCCAGGGCUCAACCUUGGAAUUGCACCCGAUACUGGCAAGCUAGAGUACGGUAGAGGGGUGUGGAAUUUCCUGUGUAGCGGUGAAAUGCGUAGAUAUAGGAAGGAACAUCAGUGGCGAAGGCGACACCCUGGACCGAUACUGACACUGAGGUGCGAAAGCGUGGGGAGCAAACAGG
rnacentral:rRNA from 1 species